AUGGCUUCACCGGUGAGCAAGGGGUCUACGGUUGCCUCUAAUGUUGCAAGUUCUCAUACUCUCAAAAGAAAUUCAGAUGACAUGGGGUGGGAGUUUGCAACCUUGAUCAAUCCUUUAGAUCUACAGCGAGUGAAGUGCAUGUUGUGUGGAAAGGAGAUGGGUGGAGGCGUCAAUAGGAUGAAGCAACAUAUUGGGCAGGUAAAGGGGAGCGUGAAAAGUUGCAAUAUGGCCACAUCGGAUCAGCAGAAAAGGUGUAAGGAUGCUUAUGAGGAACCACAAAAGAAGAAGAAGCUGGAAGAAAAACAUGAUGAAGAAGUACGUGCUGAGGUUGUCAUUCAAGUUGAUGAUGACAAGAACGAGGAAGAGCUUCAUGCAAUUGGAGAAGGUGAAGCUCGCAAGUCAGGACCUAUUGAUAAAUAUGUGAUGCCAAUUGAUCCUUCCAUUCCAUUGAAGAAGUUCCAACAGAACAUAAAUGAUGCAUCAAGGUUUUUGAGCCAUUGGUGA
rnacentral:rRNA from 1 species